AAAAGGUGAAAUUAGGUUUAUUGUUGUGACUCUUCAGAUCCUCUCUCAGUUUCACCCUCUCCUCUCUCACGAAGACGAACGGCGCUCCCUCACCGUCUCCGAUCAAAACCUACAGCGCCGUCGUGAAAUUCUUCCGGCCACCGUGUCCUUGAAUCCCUCUCCUCAAAUCUCCUUCCUUCUUUUCCCAAUUUUUACCCUAACUCGCUAAAUCUACGAUUACAGAGAAACCCUAGGUAUUGGGACCUUGGAUUCAAGCGCGAUAUUAUGAAAUUGAAGCAAGUGGAGUUCUAAUUGGAUCAUAGAUGCACAGAUAAGAGUCAAAGAACGGAGAUUCCCGACCACCGCGAAACUCAGGGUUGAAAUAGAGGUGACUACGUUUUUAAAAAAAAUGCUGCUAAUGUCUUGGGCUGUAACAAUAAUGAUGAUGAUGCUGCACAUUUUGAAUUGAUUUUUACUGCAGAAUUUGAUGAAGAAAGUUGUUGAGUCCACAAGCAUAUGAAUGGUCGAUGUUAACCAGUGAUACGCUGAAUGAAGGACACAGAUCCAAUUGCAGGUUGAAGCUUGGGCGAAGGCGUGUUAUGUUGAUGAAUAUGAGCGAAUCGGUUGCGAAGAAAACUUGAGUGUAUUCUGGAAUAGCAUGGCCAAAGGCUUUGAUUCCCACAUGUUGUGAACCUGAAACUCACCCAUUUCCUUCUUUCUUCUGCAGGUGCUGUAUGAUAUACAUGCAGAAGCGAUGAGCAUAGCUUUGGCAUGAGGAGUAAGGGUGAUGGGAGGUGGUGAAGUUGAAGACUUAGAAACGAUAUACCGUUUUUUUUAUGAAAUUUGUUUGAAUUUUAGUCAACAUGGACUUUCAUGUAAUUUCCGGUUCCCUUUUGUAACAACUCAUUCUAAUUGAAUUCCUUGUAGUAUGUGAUUGAACUUGAAUUUUGA